CAUUAUACAGCAGCUGAAAAGGGAAGAAGAGAAAAAUUGGACAAAAGAAGAGAGAAAAAACAGAAAAGAAUAAUACACACCAAGGUCAAUGUAAACCAAGAUCUGCAAUUCAUCUGGAUAAAUUUAUUUCUUCAUUUGUGUUGUCAUGUGAAGGAAAGUAUUAGGAAUCAUUCAGUCUCUCAUCCUCAAGAGCCAGUGGUAUUUCUCACAAAGUAAGCAUUUUGCCUGAACAUACUUAUAUUCCUUGUAGAAACCACAAAGCU
rnacentral:lncRNA from 1 species